rnacentral:lncRNA from 1 species
CGGGUUCGAUUCUCGCUACCCGCUUCUAUUUUAUUCUAUUUCAAUCUAUUUUUUUUCUUCUAGAAUGAAUCUAGAAUUCUUAAAGAAUUUGUUAAUUCUUCAUUUUCAUUUAUUAGUUUAGUUUUAGUUAUAUAUAUAUUCAAUUAUAUUUAAUUGAUUUAUCUUUUUUCUUUUAUUCUAAUUAUUUGAUUGACUUUUAUAAUUUCU